rnacentral:rRNA from 1 species
GAGUUUGAUCCUGGCUCAGAUUGAACGCUGGCGGCAUGCCUUACACAUGCAAGUCGAACGGCAGCACGGGAGCUUGCUCCUGGUGGCGAGUGGCGAACGGGUGAGUAAUGCAUCGGAACGUAUCCUGGAGUGGGGGAUAACGUAGCGAAGUUACGCUAAUACCGCAUAUUCUGUGAGCAGGAAAGCGGGGGACCUUCGGGCCUCGCGCUCUUGGAGCGGCCGAUGUCGGAUUAGCUAGUUGGUGAGGUAAAGGCUCACCAAGGCGACGAUCCGUAGCAGGUCUGAGAGGAUGAUCUGCCACACUGGAACUGAGACACGGUCCAGACUCCUACGGGAGGCAGCAGUGGGGAAUUUUGGACAAUGGGGGCAACCCUGAUCCAGCCAUGCCGCGUGAGUGAAGAAGGCC